UAGGGAAUCUUCGGCAAUGGACGAAAGUCUGACCGAGCAACGCCGCGUGAGUGAAGAAGGUUUUCGGAUCGUAAAACUCUGUUGUUAGAGAAGAACAAGGACGUUAGUAACUGAACGUCCCCUGGCGGUAUCUAACCAGAAAGCCACGGCUAACUACGUGCCAGCAGCCGCGGUAAUACGUAGGUGGCAAGCGUUGUCCGGAAUUACUGGGCGUAAAGCGCACGCAGGCGGUCUGUCAAGUCGGAUGUGAAAUCCCCGGGCUUAACCUGGGAACUGCAUUCGAAACUGGCAGGCUAGAGUCUUGUAGAGGGGGGUAGAAUUCCAGGUGUAGCGGUGAAAUGCGUAGAGAUCUGGAGGAAUACCGGUGGCGAAGGCGGCCCCCUGGACAAAGACUGACGCUCAGGUGCGAAAGCGUGGGGAGCAAACAGG
rnacentral:rRNA from 1 species